AUAAACAUGCUCUGUGAGUGGGAGAAUUCGAAUGCUGCAUGCCAGCUGACUUUCUGUCACCCACACUGACCCUCUCAAUACUGCAUGCUGAGCUCCACUAACUCCCAUACUAUGUAAUUGAUGGAGUGGAACAAACUUCACAGCAAGUUAAAUGCAGACUUUAUUCAAGCUCCAAGGGACUUGGAAAGACCUUCAGCCCAGUCAGCCCAGAUGAGCCCACCUCUGUGAGCCCCUUGAUUUGGAAUGGCGGCUUGUAUGUCUGUGUCAACAGGAAGCUCACUGCAUUGUGACUCAGGUGAGGAGGCCUGCCCUGGGAGCAAACUCCUCUGCAGCCAUCAUCACGACAGGCACAGCACAAGGGUAAGCCCUGGACCAAGCCACAAAGGUAGCAAGAUUGGUUUUCGGAGUUUCUCGUAGGCUGUUCUUCUUGCCUUCUGUCACACUCACUCCAUCAGGGCCUGUUUGCUGCCCAGAUGAGCCACACACAUCGGCUGGAUGAAAUGAAACUUGCCCUUCUUGUCCUACAUGUCUGUAUCUAAAAGUAUACAUUUUGGAAAGAGGCCUUAUUAAUCUAAAUACUUUUUAUUUUAAGCAAUUAAGUGCUGAUUAGUUCCUCUACUGCCUGAUGCUUUGAGACAUGCAUAACAAUCAGCGAGCCUGCAAAUUGAGUGGAAACCCCUAAUUGCUUAGAUAAUGAUCCCAACAGAAGCUGCUCCUCAGGAGAGGAACCGCUCAUGAUAUUACCAGGCGGGGGCCUAGGUGUCCUCUUCUUCCUUUCUUCUCACCUGUCUCAGCACAGGCCAAUUCCACCAGCAAAGGUGCCCAGCUCACCUGCUUGGUCCCCUGGAGAAAUAUUGAGGCCACAGGAAAAUGGGGCCUGAAGACUGAUACUCCCAGGAAGAAGCAAGACUGAGAGCAAGAAGGAGACAAGGGGACCAAGAGCAACAGGAGCAGAAAAAGAAAGAGGAAGAGGACGAGGGAGGGAGGAAGGAGAGAAGGGCAAGAAAGAUGACUUAUUUGUCCACAGUGCCAAUGACAGGUUCCACAUUUUCCCAAAUGUAUGAGCCUCUAACCUAAGACAUGUCCAAAAGUUCUUUACUUACAGGGACAUGAUCUAGGGGCUUAGAGGGCCCUGGAAAAGUAAGAUAAUAUAUUUUAAAGACCCAAUUUUACACAAAAGAACAAAAAGAGGAAGAACUAUAGCAGAAUGCCACUGCUGUGGAUUCAGACUUCACCUCCCUGCCCACGGAGAUGAUUGAAGGGGAAAAAGGACAGAACAUGAAACUAACAAGCUUGAGGCCUUAUCAGUGUCUAUAUUGGCAAAUUGAGGAGCGAUGCACUCCCCAAGGCUGAAUGUUUUUCUACCAAUGCAUAAGAUCUACCAGCCACAGACAGGCACUGUUUUUAGAUGGUCUUGAGGCAUCUCAUUUUACAAAGGAUAUAGAAACAGACGGAUGCUAUAUAGAAACUGGUGGAGUGGGGUGGAAGAGAAGACAGAAGACAAGGGUUAUAAUUUAAUCAUAUAAACUCUGGAUGCAAUAACCAAGGUCUCCCCAGAAAGCUGUCAGUGUAUACUUGUGUGGUGAGUAGAUUUCUAAUCAGCUCUAGAAGGGUGGCCAAACACAGCUAAACUGUGUCUUUUAGUAGCAGGAAAAGCAUCUGCUAUAGUUUAGAUGUUUGUCCCCCAAACUCCAUAUUGAAAUUUGACCCCCAAUAUUGGAUGGGGGCCUAAGGGGAGGUGUUUGGAUCCUGAGGACAGAUCCCUCAUGAAUGUCUUGGUACUGUCCUCACAGUGAAGAGUGAGUUCUCACACUAUCAGCUCCCUUGAGAAACUGGUUGUCAAAACAAGCCUGGCACUCCCCAUCCCCUCACCACGUGGUCUCUGCACACACGAGCUUCCAUUCACUUUUCAUCAUGUAUGGAACCAACCCGAGGACCUCAUUGGAAAGAGAGUGGAUGCUGGCACCAUGCUUCUUGUUCAGCCUGCAGAACUGGGAGACAACAUAAACCUCUUUCCUUUAUAACUUACCCAGACUUGAGUAUUUCUUUGUAGCAAUACAAACAGACAAAGCAUCUGACAAGCAAGUUGUUCAAUGAAGAGAUUGUUAGAGCCUGGGGAAGAGUCAUCAUGUUCAAUUGGUACAAGAUGCAAUUAACUAAUAUGAUUUGGGACAGCUGUCUCCAUUGAGGUCACCAGGGUGUCAUGGAGUGAAGCUUCAGGAGGAAGAGCUGACUACUUCCUACCCUGGGCUCCAUUUUUGUCAGGGCUCUACAGAGAGACAGAACUGACAAGAUAUAAAGAGAGGAAUAAAACAAAAAUCCAGAUAUUUCUAUAAAUCCGAUUAUUUGCCAAAUUAAAUGUGAAAGCUUGCCUCUAUCUCUUUCCAUUGUGUGCAGAUAUUUUGCACAGUGUGGAUUUGGUCUCUAGGUGUGAGUGUGCCCUGGACACAAUGCAUAGUAGACAGACAUUGUGCUUCGUUGUAGACACUGUGCUAGGCACGUAUUACACAUUGCCCCAAAUCCUUAUCACAAACACAUCAGGAGUAUGAUGGCCAAGGAGGAAGCUGUGGCUCAGCCCAUUGAGGCUGUAUAUCCAGGGAUCAACAGCCAGUAAGUGGGUGUGCUGACUCCCAAGGCCAAAGCCCACCUACUUGCCAGGUAACUUUCUAGGGAUAUGAAGGCAUUCUAUGUUAUGAUGGUGUGUGUUACAUGAGUGUAUCUGUCUACCAAAAGUGUGCUUCCAUGAUUUAUGCAAUCAGAUAUGGGAUAUAAUGGUAACUCAUGUUUUUACCCAAGGAUUUUUUCAUCACCAUAAAACAUCACUUCUACUCAGCUUUAUUCUAAUGAUUUGAGGCAGAGUUUAAAAAUCUGUCAAAAUUAAAUAUAUUUUUAACAAAGUGAAGACAUCUAGACAAACAGACAAUGGGGUAGGAAAGAUGGAGCUAAAACCAGGGCUGAGUUUCAUUCACAGAUGGCUCGAGGUCCUACUCAAUUACUAGAAAUGGGCUAAAUAUUCACCUCUAAGCUUUCCAAUAAGCAACACAGUAGGAACAAUAUCAACGCAAUAGGCCUCAGAGUCCAUGAGAAAUAAACUAAACAGUUGCUUAGGGAAAGCAGAGCUAUUUCUGGUAAGAAAUUCAGAGAGAGUUUUCCUUUGAGUCUUCAUAAAGAAGACACUCUUCGAUGUAGGGCGCAGCAUUAACUACAUUCUUAUGCAAGUUGUAAAGGCUAAAUCUCAUAAAAUAUUUUAAUAUAGGCCAUAACACCAAGCAGCAAAAAUAGAGAACUAGAGGAUGGGGAGAUGGAAUUUGCUGUGUUUGGAAAUUAAUACGAUUAUUGGUUUUCUGUGUUCUCACUUAAUCCAGGGUUUUAAGGAAUCUAGAGAAAAAUCAGGAUUGAUGUUUUUCAUUAGUGCGUUUUCUUACAACUAAAGCUCUUGAACGCUCUGGGUGGUGGGGAGUUUGGGUUGCACUUGGCUUGUGAUGAGUUUCCCAGGGAGAUGCACUUCUCAGCUGGACCACCUGAGCACACCACCAGGAAAAGCUUUUGGGUAACCCCGGAGGCAGGAAAAUUUCCUAUGGGUGCUUUAUUCAGCUGUAGUCCUAUAAUCAGCCUUUCACAUAAUUUGAUAGAACUGACCAAUGUGAAAUGAAACUGUUAAUAAGAUCCCAAACUCUCCAGAGAAGAGGACUCUCUAUGGCUAGUAGAAACACCCAAAUUAAAAUAAUGGAAACCCAAUGGCCAUAGUUAGAGAAGGGUGGUCACGUGCCUUUUGUUUCUGAAGAGGGCAGUUCCAAACAAACAUGCUGUCUGUGCCUCUGAGCUAAGACAGUUCUUGUAAAGGGAGCUGAGGCACCAUGGCUGGAAAUCUCCUCCAACCAGCCUGAAAGGGCAUCCAAUAGACACUUAUGGUUUGGGGUUUAGAAAGUACCCAGUCAAGACUGUUAUUUUCAACCAAUCAGAAUUGAAUGUGUUCAAAUCAUUCAUUUACAUAUACAGACCUGAUUGAAGACUGUGACAGGAAUUUUCUUUAUUUAAGCCAGACCCUUUCUUUGUUCUCCAGAAUGUGCUUUUGUUUUCCACCAAAGCCUGUGUCUUCCCGAUACCUAGA
rnacentral:lncRNA from 10 species